UACGAAGGGUGCAAGCGUUACUCGGAAUUACUGGGCGUAAAGCGUGCGUAGGUGGUUUGUUAAGUCUGAUGUGAAAGCCCUGGGCUCAACCUGGGAAUUGCAUUGGAUACUGGCAGGCUAGAGUGCGGUAGAGGGUAGUGGAAUUCCCGGUGUAGCAGUGAAAUGCGUAGAGAUCGGGAGGAACAUCCGUGGCGAAGGCGACUACCUGGACCAGCACUGACGCUCAGACACGACAGCAUGGGGAGCGAACGGG
rnacentral:rRNA from 1 species